UUAAGUUCAGCGGGUAACUCCUACCUGAUCCGAGGUCAACCGUGGAAAAAAUCGUGGAUGACCAACACCCGUCGGCCCCUCCCAAGCAGGUGACAAAGCCCCAUACGCUUGAGGACCGAGGCGGGCGUCGCCGCUGCCUUUCGGGCAAGUCCCCCCUGUAGCAGGGGGACCACACCCAACACACAAGCCGUGCUUGAGGG
rnacentral:misc_RNA from 1 species